GCUACGUAACCAUUUAGUGCUACAACGCAAUCCUAUUAUACCUAGGCCAUCAUGUUUUGUAGCACGUGUAACUCAUUUCCCACGUGUCCAUUCCUUCACCUAUUCAUUCAUUCCAUGUUUUCUCCUCCUUUUUUUUUCCUCAACAAUCCCCUAUUUAUAAGCCCUUUCAAAUCUCUAAUUGUCCCAUGCACCAACCAAUAACCAAGUUCAUGGCUUCUUCUUUCUCUUCCCAUAAAAACACGUGAUCACUCUCCCAUUCUUGCUGCCAUUAUUCCCACUGCCAUGAAGAGAAACUGCUAUCUGGAUCUUCGUUUUCGCCCUUCCUCUGCUUCGUCACCCCAUCAUUCAAUAACUUUGUAGGAAUGAGCUGUUGAACAUGAACAAAAAAGUCUUGGCCAUUCCACAUGGUGGUGGUGGUCGCCACAUGCUUGAUGUCACAGAACUUCAGGCAAGGGUGAUAAUAUGGUUGGCAAGUCAAGAAAUGGAUGGUAGCAGCAGAGGAGCAGCUUCUGCCAUGUCGCUUUCGUUGCAGUCACAGCCGUUGCUAAUGCAUGCCCCCCAAGGUUUCUCAAUUAAGACUUCCCUACGGAAUUUCCUUCACAAGAGAAAGAAAAGGUCCCAAAAGUCACAUGCCCAUUAGCACUGCCUAUUCAUUUUUUUCACAUCGAUUUUUUAUC